rnacentral:rRNA from 1 species
GACGUAGGGCGCGAGCGUUGUCCGGAUUUAUUGGGCGUAAAGAGCUCGUAGGCGGCUUGUUGCGUCAGCUGUGAAAACCCGCAGCUCAACUGUGGGCUUGCAGCUGAUACUGGAUGGCUUGAGAUUGGGAGAGGGAUGCGGAAUUCCAGGUGUAGCGGUGAAAUGCGUAGACAUCUGGAGGAACACCGGUGGCGAAGGCGGCAUCCCGGACCAACACUGACGCUGAGGAGCGAAAGCCAGGGGAGCAAACGGG